rnacentral:rRNA from 1 species
UCGCCGCCGCGCGCGGCGGGCGGGGCGGGGGCACGGGGGGACGGGGUGCAGCAGGCGCGAAACCUUUACAAUGCACGCAAGUGUGAUAAGGGAAUCCUAAGUGCUUUGCUUUAAGCAAAGCUUUUGCCAAAUGUAAAUAGUUUGGAGAAUAAGUGGUGGGCAAGACUGGUGCCAGCCGCCGCGGUAACACCAGCGUCCACGAGUGGCAUCCAUUUUUAUUGGGCCUAAAGCGUCCGUAGCUGGAUCGGUAAAUUCUUUGUGAAAUUGUUGGGCUUAACCUAACAACGUGCAGAGGAGACUGCUGAUCUUGGAACCGGGAAGGGUUAGAGGUAUUCUGGGGGGAGCGGUAAAAUGUUAUAAUCCUCAGAGGACCACCUGUGGCGAAGGCGUCUAACCAGAACGGAUUCGACGGUGAGGGACGAAAGCUAGGGGAGCAAUCCGGAUUAGAUACCCGAGUAGUCCUAGCUGUAAACUCUGCGAGCUAGGUGUUGCGUAUUCUUCGUGAAUACGCAGUGUCGAAGCGAAGGUGUUAAGCUCGCCGCCUGGGAAGUAUGGUCGCAAGACUGAAACUUAAAGGAAUUGGCGGGGAGCACUACAAGGGGUGCGGCGUGCGGUUUAAUCUAAUUCAACGCAGAGAAUCUCACCAGAAGCGACGGCAGGAUGAAGGUCAGUCUGAAUGGCUUACCUGACAAGCCGAGAGGUAGUGCAUGGCCGCCGUCAGCUCGUGCCGUAAGGUGUCCUGUUAAGUCAGGCAACGAGCGAGACCUGUGCUUACAAUUGCUAACGAAUCAGCAAUGAUGAUCGAGAACAUUGUAAGAACUGCCUCUGAAAAGGGGAGGAAGGUGCAGGCUACGGUAGGUCUGUAUGCUCCGAAUCUUCUGGGCUACACGCGCGCAACAAUGGUAGGAACAAUGGGAUACGACUCUGAAAAGAGAAGUUAAUCCUCGAAAUCCUAUCCAAGUCCAGAUUGAGGAUUGUAACUCAUCCUCAUGACGUUGGAAUCCCUAGUAAUCGGAGUUUAUCAUACUCCGGUGAAUAUGUCCCUGCUCCUUGCACGAAUUCGCCGA